rnacentral:lncRNA from 10 species
ACAAGCGACUCGUGGGCGUCAAUACUGGGCUGAGUUUGUGGCGCGCUUAGUGAUGGGAUGGCCCUGUGCAGGACGCCGACACGAAAAGAUGAAGAGUUCAAUCCGUGCUGUCUGAACUCACAGUGUAGCAGGCGAGAUAGACGGGAAGAUCGGUAGGGUGGGAGAUGCCGGAAAGGCUUCCCGUGAGACUGGAUAAGAAAUCAAAAAUCUGGUGAAAUUGCCGGCAAGAGGGAGUUAAGGACAUUCCAGGCAGAGGCAAGCAGCAGGGAUGUCUUCUUCCAGCUAUUUGACAGACCAUAUGCUCUAUUGAACUUUGCCACUGCAUCACAACUAGACCCUGAACAGGAUGGAUUUCUGGACUUCUGAAAGGUAGGAGAAAUUUCUGAGGACCACCCUCCCACUCUACUGAAGUUGGGAUGCCAGCAUUGGGAAUAGGGGCUGAGACUGGGAUUCCCCCAUUGAAGUAGGACCUUUGAAAGAGGCUGAAGUGGCACAAAGUCAGCAGACCCCAACUUCUGGCUCCUGCCUGAAGCAGGUCUAAAAGCUCUCUGAGGAAAUUAUAUUCAGUUUAGGCCCUGGAUUCCUACAGAUUAAGAUGAAACAAUGAACUCCCAAAGAUCACCAAACACACAAGGAGGUACAAUGAAUGAGAGUCAACAGAAGAAAUAGCAGAUGUAGACUGCUAACGACUGAAGAUGCUGGAACUGUCAGACAAUAAUAUAAAUAAGCCCUAUAUUGAAUGUUUAAAGAACUAAGUGUGGAAUCAUAGUUAUGAGCAAGCAACAAGAGACUAUUAAGAAUGACCAAGUUGAUUUGUAAGAACCAAAUUGAACCACUCAUUAUGACACAGCUGAACAUAGAAUAAAUGAACUGGAAGAUAUAGCUUAAGAAAUUACUCAGAAUGUAGCACAGAGAAAUGAGAAAAUGGAAAAUAGAUGUAAAUUAAGAGAUAUGAUGGAUAGAAUGUCAAGCUCAAAUACACAUCAAAUUGAAGUCCCAGAAAGAGAGAAUAAACAGAGAAGUCAGAUUUGAAGAGGAAUGGCUGAGACAUUUUUAAAACUGAUAAAAGAAUCCAUGAUUCAAGAGGUGUAACAUAAUCUAAGCAAACAAAGAAAUUGACACCUAGACAAAUAAUAAAACUGCAGAAUAACAGUGACAAAGACGUGAAGAGCAGUCAGAAAGAAAAGACAGUUUACCUACAAAGAAAUGACAAACGAGCUGAUUUUUUGAUAAUGAGCCCAGGUAGAUAAUAUUUUUAGAAGCAAUAACUGUCACCCUAGAACUGGGGAACUAGUCUAACCAUUUUUUCAAAAAUGAGAGUGAAAAACAUUGAUAAAAAACAGAUCAAUAACAAAGGAAUUACUAAGCUAUAUGCUUCAGAAAGAAAGGAAAUGACAGCAUAAGGAGAGAGCCUGAAAUGGAGAAAACAUGUAUAAAUCUAAAUAAGUAUUUAUAUAUUUAUUUGUAAUACAAGUACUGAACUACCAACAAACGAUGAAAAAGAGGAUAAACAUGCACAGACAGAAACCCUGUUGGGUCUGCUACUGCCUAGAGAUUUAGAAGGGCCAAUUAGCCCCACAGUAUCACCUAGCAGGGAGCUGUGUAAUGUGGCUCUUUGAGUAGAGAACAAAAGAGUACGUAGUUCUCAGUACUCUAUUUGAUCUCCAUAAUGCCCAAAUAAAGAGUGUAUGGGCCCGGGAUGGUG